GACGAACCGUGCGAACGUUGUUCGGAAUUACUGGGCGUAAAGGGCGCGUAGGCGGCCGAUCAAGUCAGAUGUGAAAGUCCUGGGCUUAACCUGGGGACUGCAUUUGAUACUGAUUGGCUUGAAUGCAGGAGAGGAUAGCGGAAUUCCCAGUGUAGAGGUGAAAUUCGUAGAUAUUGGGAAGAACACCGGUGGCGAAGGCGGCCAACUGGACGAAUACUGACGCUGAGACACGAAAGCGUGGGGAGCAAACAGG
rnacentral:rRNA from 1 species